rnacentral:lncRNA from 1 species
CAUCCGAUACCUUAAUACUAAUCCCGAUAAUAAUAAUAAAUAUAUAUAUUAAAUAAUAAUAAUUUCAAGAGAUUUCAUCAGUUCCAAUAAUGCAUAAUCUCCAAAUAUCAAAAAUAACAUUUAGGUAUACCAUCACAUACUUUAACACACUUUCAACUAAUAAAAUACUAGAAAUAUGCACAAUUUAGCUAUAUAUAUAUAUAUAUACUAAUUCCAUAAUUAUAUAAAUCCAUAAAAUACUAUAUCCCACAAUUAAAACAUUAUACUUCCAUACAUAAC